UCGCGGCAUAGUGGUUAAGUCAUCUUGUUCCCGUCUUCGAGGGCCUAAGAGUAGGAGGACCCAUUUCCCGAUAGGACGAGCAAGGUUUGUAUACAGUCGGGCUUGACUGCCUUCUUCUGGCUUUUGCGUCCACCAUGGCUUGCAUUUCCACAUCGAUGGCGACGGUUCGCUCUCUGCUGAUGACCAUGCUGCUGUCGGGGCGCGGUGGUGUACUAAUACCGGUGAACUUCGAAGGCCUCGCCGAGUGCGGACAUGCCUGCGGCGGCAUCGCGUGGCGCCCGUGCGUGGACGAGUGCCACUGCGUCUUCGAGUCGGGUGACUAUGGCAGAUGCCUGCCCCACGGGGUGAACAAUACCCUCGAGCUUCCGCUGGACCACGGAGCUCGUUCCCGCCAAGAAUGAACUGUUUUGCCAUUCCUUCACGCUUGGUCACGUGCCUUGUGGAGCUGCCACUUGAAAUAAAUGAAAUUUUUGCAGCC